rnacentral:lncRNA from 1 species
AGGUACUGAGAGAGGACGAAGGCUUCACGAAUGUGUUUGAAACCAAGACUUGAUAGGAAUUUUACUUUAACAGAAGAUAGUGGUGAGGGCUUGAACACUAAGGAAUUAAUGAGAGAUCAGCCCCUUUAGCAACUCAAAGCAUAUUAUAACUCCAGCUGGUCAAAAAGAGAGGAAAUAAAUAAUAUAACAGGAACAACUGCAAGAGCAAGUGCAGCAUCAGGUUGGUGCAUUUCUUUUGAUCAAAAGGUCGAAUUGCAACUGGUCUUUGAAGAGUGUGCUGGUGACAGUGUGCAACCUUUGCGGUAGCUCCUGGACUGGCACUAGACUGCUGUCAAAUUAAACCAGCGCUGUAAAGAAGAAAGCAAGUACCCUAAAGUUGAAUGAAGGGGCAUCUUAAUUCCAAUCCUGGCUCUAAUGCUGACUGUAAGUAUGACCCUGGAUGAGUUAUUCACUCUCUCAGUCUCAGUCUCCUCAUCCACAAAGCAGGGAUCACAAUAAAUGAAUAGCACCUUUCACAGAA